AUUGAACGCUGGCGGCAGGCCUAACACAUGCAAGUCGAACGAGUGGCGGACGGGUGAGUAAUGUCUGGGAAACUGCUCGAUGGAGGGGGAUAACUACUGGAACUGGUAGCUAAUACCGCAUACCAUUGGAUGUUCCUAUAUGGGAUUAGCUAGUAGGUGGGGUAACGGCUCACCUAGGCGACGAUCCAUACCUGGUCUGAGAGGAUGACCGGCCACACGGGAACGGAGACACGGUCCAGACUCCUACGGGAGGCAGCAGUGGGGAAUAUUGCACAAUGGGCGCAAGCCUGAUGCAGCCAUGCCGCGUGUAUGAAGAAGGCCUUCGGGUUGUAAAGUACUUUCAGCGAGGAGGCGUUACUCGCAGAAGAAGCAUCGGCUAACUCCGUGCCAGCAGCCGCGGUAAUUC
rnacentral:rRNA from 1 species